rnacentral:rRNA from 1 species
UACUCCUACGGGAGGCAGCAGUGGGGAAUAUUGCACAAUGGGCGCAAGCCUGAUGCAGCCAUGCCGCGUGUAUGAAGAAGGCCUUCGGGUUGUAAAGUACUUCAUCGGGGAGGAAGGCGAUAAGGUUAAUACCCUCGGCGAAUGACGUAU